CAAUAGCGUAUAUUAAAGUUGUUGCAGUUAAAAAGCUCGUAGUUGGAUUUCUGAUCGAGACAUCAGGUCGGGUCCGAGAGGAUCAUGUACUUUGAUUUUGUUUUGAUCAUCCUUGGGGAGAGCAUUUCUGGCAUUCAGUUGUCGGGAUUGGGAUCCUCAUCGUUUACUGUGAAAAAAUUAGAGUGUUCAAAGCAGGCCUCGGCCUCUGAAUACAUUAGCAUGGAAUAAUAAGAUAGGACUUUGGUGGUCUAUUUUGUUGGUUUGCACGCCAAAGUAAUGAUUAAUAGGGAUAGUUGGGGGUAUUCGUAUUCUAUUGCUAGAGGUGAAAUUCUUAAAUUUAUGGAAGACGAACUACUGCGAAAGCAUUUACCAAGGAUGUUUUCAUUAA
rnacentral:rRNA from 1 species